CCAGGAAGUGCGAACUCAGACUGG
rnacentral:piRNA from 1 species